UUUCUAAUACAACCCAGCACCACGUGCAGAGGAUUGGCGCUGCCACUGUGAUGAUGGAUCAUCAGGCUGGCAGCUCAUUCUCAACAGACUCAGGACUAGGGGUUCUUACAUGGUGCCUACUGCCUACCACCCUUGAUUGAAAUUUUAAGAUUAUUUGAAUUAAGAAAUGAAAACUAGAUUCCAUAACUAUGUUAGCUAAUAUCUAGAACAGGCAGAUCAUUCAAAGAAUAGGAGGUAGAGAUGCUUCCCACAGUGGAUUCAGACAGAAGGGAAAUUAUAGCUGUCUUUAGCUGUGAUGACAUGGUCAAAGCUUCAUGAGUUUUAAUAAUGUCAGUUAAGACUGACUCAAGACAAUUCUGCAGACAUACCUUCUGGUCAACCUGAUUGAAGCCAUUGUUUGCUUGAAGCUUACUCUUUCCACAUGACUGUAGGUUAUGUCAAGUUAACAAAAAUAACUAACCAAGACAGGCCUUGAGAUAUACAGGACAGGAAGCUUCAGUGUCACUGUUCUUAUUUUGAUGGUGAUUCUUAGGUUUCACAAACUGCACCUGAAAGUGACAAACUGCACUGAGCUAUGAUCAAACUCUGGUUUGAA
ensembl:antisense Gm14218 predicted gene 14218